UGAGUGCGAGCGGCUACGGCCGCGAAGUGGGUGAUGUCAAGCUUCCAAGAAAAGCCCUAUACCCGUUAAGGCAUGAUGGCCUGUACCCGAAACCGACACAGGUGGGGUGGUAGAGAAUACCGAGGGGCGCGAGGUAACUCUCUCUAAGGAACUCGGCAAAAUGGCCCCGUAACUUCGGGAGAAGGGGUGCCACCGCAAGGUGGUCGCAGUGAAGAGGCCCAGGCGACUGUUUACCAAAAACACAGGUCUCCGCUAAGUCGCAAGACGAUGUAUGGGGGCUGACGCCUGCCCAGUGCCGGAAGGUUAAGGAAGCUGGUCAGCGCAAGCGAAGCUGGCGACUGAAGCCCCGGUGAACGGCGGCCGUAACGAUAACGGUCCUAAGGUAGCGAAAUUCCUUGUCGGGUAAGUUCCGACCCGCACGAAAGGCGUAACGAUCUGGGCGCUGUCUCGGAGAGAGGCUCGGCGAAAUAGAAUUGUCUGUGAAGAUGCGGACUACGUGCACCCGGACAGAAAGACCCUAUGAAGCUUUACUGUAGCUUGGUAUUGUGCCCGGGCUCUGAAUGCGCAGGAUAGGUGGGAGGCUUUGAUCCAUGGCUUGCGGGUCAUGGUGAGCCAACGGUGAGAUACCACUCUUUCAGAGCUAGGGUUCUAACGGUCACCCGUCAUCCGGGGACCGGACAGUAUCAGGUGGGCAGUUUGACUGGGGCGGUCGCCUCCUAAAAGGUAACGGAGGCGCGCAAAGGUUUGCUCAGGCUGGUUGGAAAUCAGCCGACGAGUGCAAAAGCAGAAGCAAGCUUGACUGUGAGACCUACAAGUCGAACAGGGACGAAAGUCGGCUUUAGUGAUCCGACGGUUCUGAGUGGAAGGGCCGUCGCUCAACGGAUAAAAGUUACUCUAGGAUAACAGGCUGAUCUCCCCCAAGAGUUCACAUCGACGGGGAGGUUUGGCACCUCGAUGUCGGCUCAUCGCAACCUGGGGCUGAAGUCGGUCCCAAGGGUUGGGCUGUUCGCCCAUUAAAGCGGUACGCGAGCUGGGUUCAGAACGUCGUGAGACAGUUCGGUCCAUAUCCGGUGCACGCGCAGGAACAUUGAGAGGAUUUCUCCCUAGUACGAGAGGACCGGGAGGAACGCACCUCUGGUGUGCCAGUUAUCGUGCCAACGGUAAACGCUGGGUAGCCAUGUGCGGAGUGGAUAACCGCUGAAAGCAUCUAAGUGGGAAGCCCACCUCAAGAUGAGUGUUCCCAUGGCAUAAGCCAGUAAGGUCACGGGAAGAACACCCGUUGAUAGGCUCUACGUGGAAGCCGGGUAACCGGUGAAGCGGAGGAGUACUAAUAGACCGAGGGCUUGACC
rnacentral:rRNA from 1 species